CAAGUCGAACGGAAACGACAGGAGCUUGCUCCUGGGCGUCGAGUGGCGGACGGGUGAGUAAUGCAUAGGAAUCUGCCCAUGUAGUGGGGGACAACCUGGGGAAACUCAGGCUAAUACCGCAUGAGCCCUUCGGGGGAAAGCAGGGGAUCUUCGGACCUUGCGCUAUUGGAUGAGCCUAUGUCUGAUUAGCUUGUUGGUGGGGUAAAAGCCUACCAAGGCGACGAUCAGUAGCUGGUCUGAGAGGACGAUCAGCCACACUGGGACUGAGACACGGCCCAGACUCCUACGGGAGGCAGCAGUGGGGAAUAUUGCACAAUGGGCGAAAGCCUGAUGCAGCAAUGCCGCGUGUGUGAAGAAGGCCUGCGGGUUGUAAAGCACUUUCA
rnacentral:rRNA from 1 species